rnacentral:rRNA from 1 species
CCUACGGGAGGCAGCAGUGGGGAAUUUUGGACAAUGGGGGCAACCCUGAUCCAGCCAUUCCGCGUGAGUGAAGAAGGCCUUCGGGUUGUAAAGCUCUUUCAGCAGGAACGAAACGGUAGGCUUUAAUAAAGUUUGCUAAUGACGGUACCUGAAGAAGAAGCACCGGCUAACUACGUGCCAGCAGCCGCGGUAAUACGUAGGGUGCGAGCGUUAAUCGGAAUUACUGGGCGUAAAGCGUGCGCAGGCGGUUUUGUAAGACAGAUGUGAAAUCCCCGGGCUUAACCUGGGAACUGCGUUUGUGACUGCAAGACUAGAGUGUGGCAGAGGGGGGUAGAAUUCCACGUGUAGCAGUGAAAUGCGUAGAGAUGUGGAGGAAUACCGAUGGCGAAGGCAGCCCCCUGGGUCAACACUGACGCUCAUGCACGAAAGCAUGGGGAGCAAACAGGAUUAGAUACCCUGGUAGUCCACGCCCUAAACGAUGUCAACUGGUUGUUGGGUGGGUAACCACUUAGUAACGAAGCUAACGCGUGAAGUUGACCGCCUGGGGAGUACGGUCGCAAGAUUAAAACUCAAAGGAAUUGACGGGGACCCGCACAAGCGGUGGAUGAUGUGGUUUAAUUCGAUGCAACGCGAAAAACCUUACCUACACUUGACAUGCCAGAAAUCCCGCAGAGAUGUGGGAGUGCCGCAAGGAAUCUGGGCACAGGUGCUGCAUGACUGUCGUCAGCUCGUGUCGUGAGAUGUUGGGUUAAGUCCCGCAACGAGCGCAACCCUUGUCAUUAGUUGCUACAUUUAGUUGGGCACUCUAAUGAGACUGCCGGUGACAAACCGGAGGAAGGUGGGGAUGACGUCAAGUCCUCAUGGCCCUUAUAGGUGGGGCUACACACGUCAUACAAUGGCUGGUACAAAGGGUUGCCAACCCGCGAGGGGGAGCUAAUCCCACAAAGCCAGUCGUAGUCCGGAUCGUAGUCUGCAACUCGACUACGUGAAGUCGGAAUCGCUAGUAAUCGUGGAUCAGAAUGUCACGGUGAAUACGUCCCCGGGUAUUGUACACCCCGCCCGU